rnacentral:tRNA from 1 species
GAGGGUAUAGCUCAGUGGUAGAACACAUGCUUAGCAUGCACAAGGUCCUGAGUUCAAUCCCCAGCACCUCCA